AUUAACAGACUUGGCUGCCUGUCCAAGUAUGCACACCGACAAUGGGAAGCCUUGAAGUUAACACAACGUGGGGGUGCACCCAAAAAUUUGAAUUGGAAGGUGGCAGAAUGAAGGGGAAGCAUGGCUCUUUUCUCCCAACGUCAACAAGCACUCAUCGUUGACAUGAGCAGAAAGUGCAUCAAACAGCCGGCGAUGUGAAGCACUUCGGCAAGAUGCCACACACAGGCGAGAUUUUGGAGAAUGAAUCUCAGUGAAUUUGACAAUCAAUGCUUCCAUCAGCAUGUAGUUGGCUUCAAUGAACUAAACGUCUUGACAUCUGCCACCCUCCUUGAUUUUUUUUUUAGCCAUGAAAUCCAUGCUACAUACUAUUUCAAGGAGAAUUUUACUGUUAAUUAUAUGUGACUCCCUUUGUUUCGUAUAUAAAACACGGUUGCAGUUGAAAUCUA